AAAUGUUGUAAAAUGCGGAUAAUAUAGCCUUGCGAAGUUUGCCGUUUUUCAGUCAUUUUGUAUUACGCACGGGAAAUUGAUAACCAGUUUGAUCAUCUGAUUAUCAAUUUCCAUUUGUAAUGCAAAAUGACUGAAAAACGGCAAACUUCACAAGGCUAUAUUAUCCGCAUUUUACAACAUUUCG